CGCCUUCAACCUUGGCCGUGCUUCCUGCGCUCUGGUGCAGCCAUGUUCCUUCUCCUUGCACUGCUCGCUGAGCUUGGAAGGCUGCACGCCCGCCUGGAUUCUGACGGGGUAUUCCUGCAGGUCACAGUUCCACGGAAGAUAAAGUCAAACGAGAGUGAAGGUUUAGAGAAGCAGUAUGAUUAUAUGGAAUGAGAAAUGAUGGCUGUAACACAGAAAAUUAUCCAGAUUAUUGACCUUACUAACACUGGAUGCUGAUGAUUUAUUACAAAGAUUUAUGUCAUGGAAACAGGACUAUCUUAUCCUACAGCCUCAUGACAUAGCAUUCUUACUUAUGUAAGCACAAUGUUCUACAUUAAUAAAGAGAUAUACAUGAAGG
rnacentral:lncRNA from 1 species